GUGCCAGCCGCCGCGGUAAUACGUAGGGGGCAAGCGUUGUCCGGAAUUAUUGGGCGUAAAGCGCGUGUAGGCGGCUCGAUAAGUCUGCUGUGAAAGUCCAAGGCUCAACCUUGGAAAGCCGGUGGAUACUGUCGAGCUCGAGUCCGGAAGAGGCGAGUGGAAUUCCUGGUGUAGCGGUGAAAUGCGCAGAUAUCAGGAGGAACACCAAUGGCGAAGGCAGCUCGCUGGGACGGUACUGACGCUGAGACGCGAAAGCGUGGGGAGCAAACAGGAUUAGAUACCCUGGUAGUCCACGCCGUAAACGAUGGGUACUAGGUGUAGGGGGUGUCGACUCCCCCUGUGCCGACGCUAACGCAUUAAGUACCCCGCCUGGGGAGUACGGCCGCAAGGCUAAA
rnacentral:rRNA from 1 species